AUGUUCCUGAUCGCCGGGCCCGCAGCCGGAGCUUCCGAAGCCCCAAAGUCCAGUCGCAGCCGCGCACCACCACAGCUCUCC